rnacentral:lncRNA from 1 species
GUGGGAGCUGAGGCAUGGGGCACAGGGUUUUAUAAAGAGAGCAUGAUCUAAGGGAUGCAGUGUUGUUGUGUCUUAACAAUUUAGCUUGGUUCUAACAUUGUCUACUGGAGAUGGCAUCAGAACCAACAAAUUCUGGAGUGUCUCAGGAUUGCCCCGCCCCCACCUCCGCUUCAGACCGACUGCAGAUAGUGGUUGUGAAUCACCAUGUGGUUGCUGGGAAUUGAACUCAGGACCUCUGGAAGAGCAGUCAUUGCGCUUAACCACUGAGCCAUAUCUCCAGCCACCUGACGUGAACUCUUCAGCGACAGGCUAGCCUCUGCCUCUUGAGUGCUGGGAUUAAAGGUUCAGUUCGGUGCAGCUCCUGAUGGUACAGGGACCAGUUUACAGCUGGCUCCAAGCAUCAGCUGACAAGAGGAUCCAACCUAGCAUUGUCACGGAUCUUAAAUGAAGCCAACACGUUAGCAAACCAGGUGGUUUGGAGUUGGGCCGUAUCAGAUGCCCAGAGGAAGGACACAAAUCACCAUGCCUCUGUAACCAGCAUGCCACAGGACCUGAGGAGAGUACAGCUAGCAUUAUUUUAAAGAUACAGACAACAUCGUAAGCCUGUGGGAGACACAUGCAUGGGGAAGGGGGUUCGGGGAGGGGGUUAAUUCCCUCAUCCAUUAUCAAUAAUCAUUUGCAUUGCUAUGUGAUUAGAUCUAUUUGAGGGAAAAACAAAAGCAAAAACCAAAACAAAACCUUGUUGGUCAGGCAUGGUGGUGUACACCUUUAAGCCCAGCACUCAGAAGGCAAAAGCAGAGGUAGGUGGAUGUCGAUGCAUUCAAGUCCAGCCUGGGCUAUAUAAUCACAUGCUGUCUAGAAACAAAACAAGCAGGCAUGUGUUUGGAGAAGGGUGGUCUAUGGCCGUUUGUUGCCACUGAACUCUACUGAGAACCCAGACCUGCCGGCAUUUUUUUCACCUCUAUUGCCAUCUAGAGGAGACAAUUGGAAGGACAUGAAGUAAGUCCCCAGAUGGAAUUAAGUGAAAACCAAUACUGGAAAGAAACAUUUGUACAAAACUCUAAGAAUCACUACACUUUGUUGGCUCCAACUUUAUGUUUUUCUCCUCUCUUUCCAUCUGGCUCAGUUACAGGCAGGAUUUGAAUAUCCACUUAUGGGCUUUUAUAUCAGCACUUCCGGCAUUUCGAGGGCUCCGGUGGACACCUCUUAUAGACAUAAAAUCAUGAAACUUUCUGAUGAGGUGGUUUGUUUGUUUGUUUGUUUACUUGGAUUUUGGUGAAUGGAGAAGAGGAUGGAGCCUUUCAACACAGAGAGGCAGUUUCCUGACGUCCAUAGCCUCAGAACCUAUUCAUUUUGUGGGGUGUUUAUAGGUAGCACGUUGGUCAAAUAUGUUUUGCUAGGGAGAGCAGUACUGAGCCGUUUUCUUUACAACCUUUAAAUUACUGGUGUGCACUGUGGACUUGAGGAGAUCAAACACGGGGCAAGCAGUGACCUUGGAGCCUCCUGCCUUUCACAGAACCGAUGGGAAAUAUCCUGUGUACACUUCAAGGACUGUUCCCACAGGCAAGAGAAGCUGGCCUGCUGCAUGCACACCAUGUGCAAACAGACCAGCCCUUCCUCAGCUCUCCUGCUCCUCUCUGUCUAAACAUUGUUGAAGCUUUGUUUUGGGGUUGAGUGGCUUAAAGACUGUAACCAUGGUCACUAACAACAGGGAUACAUCUUUGUGAGCGUAUCGUUGAGUGUGCUUUCGUAAGCCUCAAUGGUAUGAGCUAAUUUACUCUAUGACAUGGCCUCUUGUGCAACCAGCAACUGUAAAUGCAGCAUCAGGAGGCUGCUGCUGGCCUAACAUGACAAACUUUUAAGUAAACUCCUUUUGAUCUGGUCUGUGUUGUGCCUCUGCUCAUGCAUGAGGGGCCCAGACCAGGGUGUUUGUUAGGCAUCUCUGGGAAUGGCUGAGCAGGGAACGUGCCUGCCACACAUGCAUGAAGACGUGAGUUUGUAUACCCAGAGUAUACAUACAAAAUGCCUGUAACUCUAGCACUGGGGGCAACGAGGCAUGGAAAAGCAACAGCAGAUGCCUGAAGCUCACUGGUCAGUCAGCCUGGCUGAAGCUAAGAGCUUUAGAUUCAUCGAGAAAAGCAGCAAGGCUGCCCAGGGCGAUGCUUCAGUCCCCAGUACAGAAGAGGAGGAGAAGGAAUGAUGGACUUCAGGACCAGGGUGAUUCACAAACACAAGAGCCUUCUGGUUAAUUCCACAGGGAGAGACAAACGGGUGUUCUCAGGAGUUGCUCUGAAUGCGGGUGUUCUUGUAAAAAAUCUGGCAAUGCAGCAGCCAAGAACUGUGAGAUAGCUCUCUCUACAAGGAAGGCAAAGGAAUGGAAUGGAAUUAUCUGAAAUCGGCGGCGGGACAGACGGCUGGGUGUGCAGCGACCUCGAACCCGUGAGCCAGAAAGC